GGGAGGCCCCGCCCCGCCCCUCGGCCGUUCCGAGCGCGGGGCUGCGGGUUCGAGGCUGCCCCGGGAAGGCGCCGACUCCUUCACAAAAGAGGAGGAAAUCCGCUACGUAACACCAGUGAAAGGUAAACAAGUAGAAGAAAUGCUUUCUCAUAUGUGACCAUUCAGUGAAGAAGUCUGAUACCAUCUCCAGCCACCCCCACUUUCCUCAGAUGGAUCCUCACCAGCUCCUUUUUGCUGUCCCCAGAGGAACAACAAAUGAGCAAUCAUUUCUUUUACACAUGUGGAUGACUAGCCUGAAAGAUUUGUUCUAGGAUAAAAUAUCCUUCACAUUUGGUCUCUUCCAUCACAUCUCCCUUCUACUUCCUAUACAGAGAAACAGACUGAAAUUUGACAUUAGAGACCAGCAGAACCUUAGACAGAAAGGCAAUUCAUUGAUAAGCCCAGGUGGCUAUCUGGUCUUAAGGAAGCCAGUCAUCUGAUCCCUUAAAGAAUAAUUGUCUGCAAGUCCAGACCUAUGUUUUGGAAUAUCCAUGCCUCUGCAGAACCGGAAGGUAGACCAGGGAGAGGAGAACAGAAGGAGGAAACUACCUUCUCUGUCUGUACUUGAACAAGAUUUCUUCUUAAAGACACAUAUAGCACAAUUCCUGCUCUGUACAUUCAGUACCGUAAGGAAAGGCCACAAGACUGUAUUUGCCUCCUGUAGAUGCCCAAGUUCAAGCACACAGCAUUGCUCACCUCCCGGUUUUGCUGCUCUUUAAGAAGUUCUCGGAGUGUCCGGUUGGUUUCUUCAAAGGUGCUCAGUUUCUGUAGCAGCAGCUCUUUUUGUCUUGUCAGUGUGUUAAUAUCUGAGCUGCUCAUGUGUUUCUCCUAAAAAAGGGAGAUGUGCUCAUAUGCAACGUCUCAAAGUCUGGAAUUAAGCUAUGAAGCUGACAUGAGCAUAAGGCAGCACAACAGUCAUCACCAUAUGUACAGAAGGGCAUUGGGAUGCUGCAAAUAAACACCUCAAUUCCAAAAAGGUUUAGUAAACAUCUUAAGCAUGUUAAAUCACUCUUUUCUUUAUGUUUCUCUGGAUCAGCAACACCAGCAUUACAGUUUUGAUUCAGCUAUAUAACAGGACAACAUAAUAAAGGCAAGAACAAAAACAUCCAA